GACGAACGCUGGCGGCGUGCCUAAUACAUGCAAGUAGAACGCUGAAGGAGGAGCUUGCUCUUCUGGAUGAGUUGCGAACGGGUGAGUAACGCGUAGGUAACCUGCCUGGUAGCGGGGGAUAACUAUUGGAAACGAUAGCUAAUACCGCAUAACAGUAGAUGUUGCAUGACAUUUACUUAAAAGGUGCAAUUGCAUCACUACCAGAUGGACCUGCGUUGUAUUAGCUAGUUGGUGGGGUAACGGCUCACCAAGGCGACGAUACAUAGCCGACCUGAGAGGGGGAUCGGCCACACUGGGAGUGAGACACGGCCCAGACGCCUACGGGACGCAGCAGUAGGGAAUCUUCGGCAAUGGUCGGAAGUCUGACCGAGCAACGCCGCGUGAGUGAAGAAGGUUUUCGGAUCGUAAAGCUCGGUUGUAAGAGAAGAACGAGUGUGAGAGUGGAAAGUUCACACUGUGACGGUAUCUUACCAGAAAGGGACGGCUAACUACGUG
rnacentral:rRNA from 1 species